AAUACUCAACUCAAGACUACAUCUCAUUUCCUUGCCUUCUUCACCGUCUUCUUUCCGGGCGUAGUUUUGGAAGCAGUUUUCGCCACCUUAGCCGGCUUGGCCACAGUUUUCGGCUUUGGCUUCGGCUUCACUGCGGGCUUAGACUUAGGCUUCACUGCUGGCUUAGCAGCCGCCUUAGCUUUCACAGGAGCUUUACUUUUAGGCUUAGGCUUGGCUGCGACUUUAGCUUUGGGCUUGGCUGCGACCUUAGCUUUGGCAGUUUUCUGCUUGGUAGCUGCGAGUUUAGGCUUGACAUCGGCUGG
rnacentral:misc_RNA from 1 species